GACGAACGCUGGCGGCGUGCUUAACACAUGCAAGUCGAACGAUGAAGCCGGAGCUUGCUCCGGUGGAUUAGUGGCGAACGGGUGAGUAACACGUGAGCAAUCUGCCCUUGACUCUGGGAUAACUACGGGAAACUGUAGCUAAUACCGGAUACGACACCUUGGGGCAUCCCAGGGUGUGGAAAGAAUUUCGGUCAAGGAUGAGCUCGCGGCCUAUCAGCUAGUUGGUGAGGUAAUGGCUCACCAAGGCGACGACGGGUAGCCGGCCUGAGAGGGUGACCGGCCACACUGGAACUGAGAGACGGUGCAGACGCCUACGGGAGGCAGCAGUGGGGAAUAUUGCACAAUGGGCGAAAGCCUGGUGCAGCAGCGCCGCGUGAGGGAUGAAGGCCUUCGGGUUGUAAACCUCUUUUAGCAGGGAAGAAGCGAAAGUGACGGUACCUGCAGAAAAAGCACCGGCUAACUACGUGCCAGCAGCCGCCGUAA
rnacentral:rRNA from 1 species